GUGGCGAACGGGUGAGUAACACGUGAGUAACCUGCCCUUGACUCUGGAAUAAGCGUUGGAAACGACGUCUAAUACCGGAUACGAGCUUCAGCCGCAUGGCUAGGAGCUGGAAAGAAUUUCGGUCAAGGAUGGACUCGCGGCCUAUCAGGUAGUUGGUGAGGUAAUAGCUCACCAAGCCUACGACGGGUAGCCGGCCUGAGAGGGUGACCGGCCACACUGGAACUGAGACACGGUCCAGACUCCUACGGGAGGCAGCAGUGGGGAAUAUUGCACAAUGGGCGCAAGCCUGAUGCAGCAACGCCGCGUGAGGGACGACGGCCUUCGGGUUGUAAACCUCUUUUAGUAGGGAAGAAGCGAAAGUGACGGUACCUGCAGAAAAAGCACCGGCUAACUACGUGCCAGCAGCCGCGGUAAUACGUAGGGUGCAAGCGUUAUCCGGAAUUAUUGGGCGUAAAGAGCUCGUAGGCGGUUUGUCGCGUCUGCUGUGAAAACUGGGGGCUCAACCCCCAGCCUGCAGUGGGUACGGGCAGACUAGAGUGCGGUAGGGGAGAUUGGAAUUCCUGGUGUAGCGGUGGAAU
rnacentral:rRNA from 2 species